rnacentral:misc_RNA from 1 species
GUAGCAUAAGUUAGGAACAUGAUUCUUCCCUAUGGGUAAACUUAUUGAAGCCUUAGUAUCCUUCUAUAGGAGGCCACACGACUAAAAAUAAAGUGGCCAUGCUAGUUGAUGCAAGUCAGCAACACAACCGGACUGUUUUGGGAACACCCUAAAAUUGUGCUUCUUGGGUGCAAUAUGGGCGACCCACAGCGAAUAUCUUAUGGCAUUUGCGUGCUAUUGGAGAACGUUAACAGACUAAGUGGUUGUGGAU